ensembl:lncRNA
AUUUUAGGGUGCAUGGUCUUAUGGCAUUUGUCAGGGAACAUGGUUUUGCAGAGGGCAAAGUUCCAGUUAUUGUUGGAGCUACUCAUUCCUUCAGAGAGAUGACACUUAAGAAAUGAAGAAAAUUAAAUCUACAUUCACCCGAGGACUUAACCCACUUGCUCAAGAUCACACAGCUAAGAGAUGAAGCCGGCAAUCAAGCCUGUGUAUUACAGACAUACACAUCACCAUAUUUCCUCCUUAAAAUCAACCAAGAUGAACCACGCAUGCAUGCAUCCAUCCAACAUCCAUCCAUCUACAAGCCCCAACCAUGUAGAAAGCCCUGUAGUAGCUGCUGGGGAUACAACAAGGAGAAAAUAGACAUAGUUCCAUCCUCACAGAGCUUGAAAUCUAAAGUAGGAUAAAUAAUGUUAAACAAGUAAUCAAACAUGCACAUAAUGACAAACUGCAAUUAGUGCCAGGCAAGAAAAUUACAGAGCACAGUAAGAAUAUACAACACCUCAAGACAGAGUAACUGGGGAACAAAUGUGGAUGGUCAGCUGAGGAACAGCAGUCAGGGAAGGAUCCUUGCAAUGAAUCUGGGCUGAAAGGGGAUAAGGCAGCAAGGUUCAUGCGAGCAUUGAGACGAGGAGUAUGUAUUCAAUGAGAGCCACAUGUCUAUGGAGAUGCUGAGUUGGGGGACCUGAGAAUGAGGGAAACAAAACCAGAAAUCAAAUGAGACUGGGGAAGGGAGUGAAAAGAAAGUCAGGAUGGAGAAUUGAAGAGAAAGAGAGAAGCUACUAAAGAAAAACUUGAAACUGCUGUAGCAUGGUGGGGUGUAAUCGCCUUCAUGGUGCAAGUUUGAGAACUGUUGAACAGUUUGAAAAGUGGAGACAAUGGCAAUGAAGAACACUCUUUCAAAGGUGCAACUAAGUUCAUUUUUCAGCACAAAGGAUUUGAGUAAUGUAUGAAUAGCACUAAGGAGAGAGAAAAAGCCCAAGGGUGUCUAAAUAUUCUUCCUCAAAACUUCAAAAAUGCUUUAUUUCCUAACUCAGUAGACAUUCUGGUCAUAGGUCUUUGUUUAUUCUGAGAGAUGGUACCAUGGAGCUCUGCCCCACUGUGUCAGUGGACAGACUCAUCCACACACCUGGAAAGUUGUAGGCACUGCAGUCUCGCCGAAGCAGUUGACUUUACAUCCUUCAGUUCAGUUCAGUUCAGUUGCUUAGUCGUGUCCGACUCUUUGCGACCCCAUGAAUCGCAGCACGCCAGGCCUCCCUGUCCAUCACCGACUCCUGGAGUUCACCCAGACUCACGUCCAUCAAGUCAGUGAUGCCAUCCAGCCAUCUCAUCCUCUGUCGUCCCCUUCUCCUCCUGCCCCCAAUCCCUUGCAGCAUCACAGUCUUUUCC